rnacentral:lncRNA from 1 species
GGGCACAAGGGAAGACAAGAGGACAACUGAAGGGUAGGCUGAAGUAAAUUUGAAAAUAUGGAGGUUUGGGUAAUCCAAACCCAGCUAAUCACAGCUCCAUUCAGGGUCAGUAAAUUAUUGUUUAGAUCAACCUCAGGUUUCCUCUUAGAGUAACCCUCUCUCUCUCUCAAACCCACCAUUGUAAGCAUAACGAUCAAAAAAAAAAAGGCUUCGGCUUUUUCUGUCUGUCACGUGACCCUUGUCUCGUUGCGGUCCUCCGAGAGAAGAAACAUUGGUAGGCGGAAGUUGACUAGUGAUGUUAGAGGACGGCAUAAAAGUUGAAACAGACGACGCAGACGGGAUCAUCAUCGGAAGUGUUGGAAUACUUUCAGUCGGUCUGGUAGUCUAAGAAGGAGGAGGUGGUAUGUGAGAACAGUGAACAUCUCAAGGCGGAAUGUGGGGAAGUCACCAUGCUUGUUUGCCUGAUAACCGGAUCUGGAUUAUCUGCUUUCCUGAGACAAAGAUGAAGGCUUUGUUACCCUCAACACUUGCAGCUGUGGUUGUGCUGUAAAAGCCACAUCUGUUCUCACCCAGCUUAAGGAAAAAGUAAUCUGCCUUUCAUUUUGUCCAAUCUGCAAGUCACCCUGAUUUGAAGUGAAGCGUUUAGCCGGCGGAUAAGAAAAACAGCAUGGACAUGGAAGAUUACAAGUUACUUUGUCGGCUCUGCAUUUAAGUCUCACACCCUGAGUGUGCUGCAUCCAAGGCAAGAAUAUCCACACAAAGAAUACAUUGUACACAUUCAUUUGUAAUAUCAAUUGGAAACUGAACUGUGCAAUAAAGCACUUUCCAUGGACUCUUCUUUCAUUUUUUUUAUCAGGAGCUGAACUGAAUUAACUUUUAUGACUCAACACAGCCACCACAACACCCCCACUUACCCUCCCACCCGUCGGUCAUCCAACUGUCCUGCCAGCUGUCUAUUUUAUAUGUCCAUGUCGCACCCUUCAAGCAAUUAAUGUCUGAGUUAACCACAAUAUUCUCUCCUGUGGAGUUUUGGAUAGCUGAAAAGUAAA